rnacentral:rRNA from 1 species
GUGGGGAAUAUUGGACAAUGGGCGAAAGCCUGAUCCAGCCAUGCCGCGUGUGUGAAGAAGGUCUUCGGAUUGCAAAGCACUUUAAGUUGGGAGGAAGGGCAUUAACCUAAUACGUUAGUGUUUUGACGUUACCGACAGAAUAAGCACCGGCUAACUUCGUGCCAGCAGCCGCGGUAAUACGAAGGGUGCAAGCGUUAAUCGGAAUUACUGGGCGUAAAGCGCGCGUAGGUGGUUCGUUAAGUUGGAUGUGAAAGCCCCGGGCUCAACCUGGGAACUGCAUCCAAAACUGGCGAGCUAGAGUACGGUAGAGGGUGGUGGAAUUUCCUGUGUAGCGGUGAAAUGCGUAGAUAUAGGAAGGAACACCAGUGGCGAAGGCGACUACCUGGACUGAUACUGACACUGAGGUGCGAAAGCGUGGGGAGCAAACAGGAUUAGAUACCCCUGUAGUCC